UAUUGGGAGAAAAUGAAAGUUGUCCAGGAAGUAUGAUGUCAGCUCUUGAAUCAUCCUUCCGUCCGUAUUUUAUCAGCGGUCUCAACCAGUUGAAGUGUUGAGACCCAACAUACUGUAUUCCAAAUAUUAUAUUUGUCCCCUGAGGGAUAAUUAUAGUGACACAGGACCUAGUUCAAAGUUGACUUUGACAUUUCCCAUUCUCCUUAAUUGAGAGACACAAUGAGCUAUAAAAACCUGUUGAAUCUGCCUUACUUUACUUUGUGUUAAAACCUGACAGGUUUAAUAACACAAUAGGAUGGAUGGCUAAACAAAAACAAAAGGAUUCGCUGGUCUACGGUAAUGUGGUGCAAAUAAAAGCUAAUAAUACAUCAUAAAUCUGUUUCUGUGACCGCAUCUCUAAAGUGUAAUCGAGACCCGCUCUGUGACAUGAGCUCUCGUCCACCUGUUCUGACUUUUAGUGAAGGUUUUGCUCACCAAAAUAUUGAAGAGGAAACCACUCAUGGAUUUAGAUUUAAAUGUGUCAUCUCGAAAUGAGGUGUCCUAAUCCACAGCAGGGGACUUUUGGCAUCAGGACCCUGCAGGUGUGCGAUUGUACUCUAUGAACCCCGACAAGAUGCUUGACUUAAUGGAGACGUGAAAGGCCGUGUGUCAUGAUUAGCAAACUACUUUGUGAUGGUUUCUGCUCAUUAAUGGUAGGUUAUCUUGCUAAAGAAGAGGCGGCGCAUGCCCAUGCUCAACAGCAAUCCUCUGGUUUUAAGAAGACUUAUUAUGUAAUAUUUACUACCAGCCGUUAGUUUUGAGUAAUGCUGUCUGUCAUUAUUGUUUGUAAUGACCUCUUUCAGUGCCUGAGCUGAAAUUUUUUUCCUGUCAUGCCAUGUUGCCUUAUCCAACCCUGAUGAUGACAUUUUAUUUUGCACCUUUGUAACCGUUAAUAUGACGCAGCCAGGGAUUUUUUUUUUUUUUUUUUACUGUAAUGCAUCUUAACGACUGUAUUGUUGAUCCUCCUCCAACUUUCCCUCGUGUUCACGCUUGCUAACUACUGUACACCUACGCUCGCACACGUUUCUUGCAUUCUCCCUCCCCCAUUAACAGCACAUGUCACGCAAGGUUAUUGUUUGGAACUUUGAUACUUCAGGCAGUGCUGUUCUUGUUACUUUUAACUAUGAGUGUGUUUGUAAAGCUUUUCUUGCUGUGAUAUGUGUGUUGUGUUUUUGAAGUGAAAGUCCACUUGUUCCACUUUUGCAAGAUUGUCGUAUUCAAAUGGAGAAGUCCCAUAGACCACUGUUUUCCAUGAUUU